rnacentral:rRNA from 1 species
UACGGGGGGAACAAGCGUUGUUCGGAUUUACUGGGCGUAAAGGGCGCGUAGGCGGCCACCGCAAGUCGACUGUGAAAUCUCCGGGCUUAACCCGGAAAGGUCAGCCGAUACUGCGGGGCUAGAGUGCAGAAGGGGCAACUGGAAUUCUCGGUGUAGCGGUGAAAUGCGUAGAUAUCGAGAGGAACACCUGCGGCGAAGGCGGGUUGCUGGGCUGACACUGACGCUGAGGCGCGAAAGCUAGGGGAGCGAACGGG